AUUGAACGCUGGCGGCAGGCCUAACACAUGCAAGUCGAGCGGAUGAAGGGAGCUUGCUCCUGGAUUCAGCGGCGGACGGGUGAGUAAUGCCUAGGAAUCUGCCUGGUAGUGGGGGAUAACGUCCGGAAACGGGCGCUAAUACCGCAUACGUCCUGAGGGAGAAAGUGGGGGAUCUUCGGACCUCACGCUAUCAGAUGAGCCUAGGUCGGAUUAGCUAGUUGGUGGGGUAAAGGCCUACCAAGGCGACGAUCCGUAACUGGUCUGAGAGGAUGAUCAGUCACACUGUAACUGAGACACGUCCCAGACUCCUACGGGAGGCAGCAGUGGGGAAUAUUGGACAAUGGGCGAAAGCCUGAUCCAGCCAUGCCGCGGGUGUGAAGAAGGUCUUCUGAUUGUAAAGCACUUUAAGUUGUGAGGAAGGGCAGUAAGUUAAUACCUUGCUGUUUUGACGUUACCAACAGAAUAAGCACCGGCUAACUUCGUG
rnacentral:rRNA from 1 species